UACGUAGGGGGCAAGCGUUGUCCGGAUUUAUUGGGCGUAAAGAGCGUGUAGGCGGCCAGGUAGGUGGGUUGUGAAAACUGGAGGCUCAACCUUCAGAGGUCGACCCAAACCCCCUGGCUAGAGUCCGGAAGAGGAGAGUGGAAUUCCUGGUGUAGCGGUGAAAUGCGCAGAUAUCAGGAAGAACACCCGUGGCGAAGGCGGCUCUCUGGGCCGAUAUUGACGCUGAGGAGCGAAAGCGUGGGGAGCGAACAGG
rnacentral:rRNA from 1 species